UUAUGUGUCUGUACAAUAAUAUUGGGCUUAUGUUCAGAACGUGAUUUUGGCCCAGCCAACCCUUUUCCGCGCUAACCCUAAUUAGUUUACGUGAAAAAAAAUAUUGUUCUUCGCAGCUCUUCCUUAGGCGGCAACAGUGACCAUCGAGCUUCUUUCUCGAAGAUGAUGUUCUUAAAUGUUCUCUGAAACCAACAAUGGAGUCAUCCUGUUCGUUGACAUCUGAGUAAUCUCCAACAAUGGAGUUUUUGGGAGAGCUAUUUGAGACGGAUCGUCAUGACGUUCGAUCUGUCUUCGUGCCAUCGUUUCGUCUCCGUUGCUUUACCCGAAACCGUUACUUGAUGAAUUGAUUCACUGCCAUUAACAAUCUCUUAACUCCAUCAAGCUAAUGCAACCACGUUUUCUCAUUCAAUGCACCUCUCUGCAAAGGCGGUGCAUUUUAAGCUAUAAAAAGCAAUGCGCUAGGAUAAAAACUAGAAAGACUCUUGCUUUUGGGAUCAGUCUCUGCAAGUGGCGAAUAUGCUCGCUGAGGUUUAGGAGCAGAAAAGCUUGACUAGAACUUGCGAAAUCACCAAAAGUAGCAUAGAAGCCAUCGAGAAUUGAUUCGUGGACGAUGAAUCUCGAGAAGAACUCGGCGUCCGACAACUCUCUGGAGAACAAACUCACUGUUUUACUUCAAGAUCCGUACGGACCUUAGUCAACCAUGGUGAAGACAUGAAAUGAGCGAUCUGGAAACCCCAUGCCGCCUCUUCGUAAUCGUUCACAUCCACUGAACAGUGUCUUUUUCUGCAGUGGUAAUGUGUCUGAAAACGUGCGGCUUAAUGAACGAAUCUUUCUGAUUGUCAGCCAGGGAAUCAAUAAGAAAGCGUGGGAUGCAUCCGGUGAGCAUUGUUUGUUUCAGUCAAAGGAGGUGAUGAUAAUUACAAAGGAUUACUUGCAACUACGACACUCUUCCAAGUACAUUUAUUGUAUCAUAUCUGUGCUAUGUCUUAACCUGAAGAAUAGUCUAUGCUUUUAUGUUUAUAGUGGGUUCACCCAAAUUUUUUGUUCUAUCCACUAGACUGGUCACUCUUUGUAAUGGUUUUAUGACAACCAUUUUCAUGUGAAUAUCAAUUUUAUAUAGAUUGAACAACAUUUUUAUUGUA